rnacentral:lncRNA from 1 species
CGGCCCCCGCGGUGGCCCAGGAGGCUCUCUGUGGGAGUGUGUGUGAUGCCUGUGCACGCAGGCGAGUGCCGGCCUCCACUCUACCCCACCCACCUCCAGAGAACAGGAAAUGUCUGCCUUUUUUUCUUCCCUUCGGUUUCACAAAGGAAGUGAAGUGUCUACCUAAAGGGGUGGUGAGAAUCUUUAUAGGGAGCCAUGCAAUUGGGCCACAACAGUGAGGAUUAAGAAGCUCCCCUUCUCAUCGGUUUCCCCUUACUGGCCCAAACCUUGGUCAGGAAGUCGGACUUGCCCUGGCGGUGGUACCCAUAAUUUAAUAUUCAUUAUGUGUCAGGGGAAGCCUGGAAAAUCAUGCCCUCCUACUUCAGCUUUCCACAGCUCUGUCCUUUCCCAGCCUCAGCGGGCAUUUCAGAGAAAUAGGCAAGGCCUGAUGUAUCCCUUCACACUUAGGGUAUUCUGAUGUCAGCCACAGUGUGGAUGAAUGGGGGGUGGGGCACUUGUGGGCAGAGACGGAGGGCAGGAAGGAGGUCGCUCUAUCACCUCAAGGCUUGUGGAGAGCUGAUUUCAUGGACUACUGGGAAGAGAAGUCGUACCCUCUUUCUCCAAUGGUCAUUAGCUUCCAGCCCCUUCUAUGGCCUGAAGCUAUGUCAGUUCACACAAAGCAAUCAGGAAUACCUGCAGUUUUCAACCUGGAGAACUGAAAACAUUCCCCAGCAUGCUGCCAGCAUGAAGAAGCUCUGUAAUUACAGACGUGCAGGGGCUUGUGUUCCUGACCUCACUCAUCGAUGAAACACUUCCGUCCCCUUCACUUCCCAUGGUGUCUUUAUCGAGGAAGUGUAAAGCUGGGUCCUUCAGAAAA